CUGGAAGUACCCUGGGAGUUUUACGACAGGAAAAUGCGACCACUCAAGGUCCAGGGCAACACGGAUGCCCACUCGGUUGUGGGUCUGAGGGCGAGCAUGGCCUUCGCCCCAGGAGGGGAUGUUGUCUACAUCGCUGAGAGAGUCGUGCCCGUUGAAGAGGUGACAGACUGGCUGCAAGAAGGGAAGGAUCUACCCGACAUCAUAGUAAUGGGAUUCGGUGCUUGGAUCUACUCUAGGGCCCAUAACAAGCUGCUCUCUUCUCUGAUGGCGCCUGACCGUAUGAUUACACGCUGGCAGAAGAUGAAGGACCUCGUCACGAAACUCGCGAAGAGGACGACUGUCCUCCUCGUCCCUCAGACGAGGUUCAGGCCACACGUUGUGAAGUCUUCAGUACCUCAUAAUGAAUCAACCGAAGCCAAGAUAAAAUGGUGGCGCGAGCUGCUUUACAAGGAAAGUUUCCUUGAUCACUCCAACGACUGGAUCGACAAAGUGAUGAGCCACUUCGCCCGGGGAACGGGAGCUAUUCUUUGGGAUUCGACCCUCCCCAUGAACUUGGCCAACGUCAGGGAAUGCGGCCUCCUGACGCAGGGACAGCAGGAGGACCACCCUGCAUACAGCGACGUCAUGCACUGCAAUGACGGCCACCAUCCGGCACCUCUCACUCUGCAAGACGAAGUCACGAUGCUCCUGAAUCUGUUGUGCAACAAGGACCUCAAUGCGGAAGACGAGCACUGUUGCUCAUGACAUUUUACGCAGGCUUGGAUAUCAAUUAGUAAGUGCGCCCAUGCCGUCAAAAAUGACAGUAAUAUAAGAGAGCGCUGAGACACCAAGUCCCGGAGAUCGGCUCAAGGUACUCUAUCUUCGCUAUGAAUAAUUGUGGCCAGUAGUCAGAGGCCGGCUGCUUGCUGAUCUAUAAUUCUAAAUGUGGCGUUCAUUACAUGUACAAUAUCGUUACGCGAGUAAAAUAAAUAUAUGGAUAUACACUGCAUCUUAUUGUACAUACAAACAUUUGCGCACAAAAUAAAUAUAUGGAUAUAUAUAUAUAUUGAUAUGCCCUGCAUCUUAUUGUGCAAACAUUUGCAAUUUUGAAUGGAAAUUGCUGA